UGACUAGAGUGACACUCGUCGA
rnacentral:miRNA from 1 species